UGCAGUCGACGAUGAUGCCCAGCUUGCUGGGUUGAUUAGUGGCGAACGGGUGAGUAACACGUGAGUAACCUGCCCCUGACUCUGGGAUAAGCGUUGGAAACGACGUCUAAUACUGGAUAUGAUCGCCGGCCGCAUGGUCUGGUGGUGGAAAGAUUUUUUGGUUGGGGAUGGACUCGCGGCCUAUCAGCUUGUUGGUGAGGUAAUGGCUCACCAAGGCGACGACGGGUAGCCGGCCUGAGAGGGUGACCGGCCACACUGGGACUGAGACACGGCCCAGACUCCUACGGGAGGCAGCAGUGGGGAAUAUUGCACAAUGGGCGAAAGCCUGAUGCAGCAACGCCGCGUGAGGGAUGACGGCCUUCGGGUUGUAAACCUCUUUUAGUAGGGAAGAAGCGAAAGUGACGGUACCUGCAGAAAAAGCACCGGCUAACUACGUGCCAGCAGCCGCGGUAAUACGUAGGGUGCAAGCGUUGUCCGGAAUUAUUGGGCGUAAAGAGCUCGUAGGCGGUUUGUCGCGUCUGCUGUGAAAUCCCGAGGCUCAACCUCGGGCUUGCAGUGGGUACGGGCAGACUAGAGUGCGGUAGGGGAGAUUGGAAUUCCUGGUGUAGCGGUGGAAUGCGCAGAUAUCAGGAGGAACACCGAUGGCGAAGGCAGAUCUCUGGGCCGUAACUGACGCUGAGGAGCGAAAGCAUGGGGAGCGAACAGGAUUAGAUACCCUGGUAGUCCAUGCCGUAAACGUUGGGCGCUAGAUGUAGGGACCUUUCCACGGUUUCUGUGUCGUAGCUAACGCAUUAAGCGCCCCGCCUGGGGAGUACGGCCGCAAGGCUAAAACUCAAAGGAAUUGACGGGGGCCCGCACAAGCGGCGGAGCAUGCGGAUUAAUUCGAUGCAACGCGAAGAACCUUACCAAGGCUUGACAUACACCGGAAACGGCCAGAGAUGGUCGCCCCCUUGUGGUCGGUGUACAGGUGGUGCAUGGUUGUCGUCAGCUCGUGUCGUGAGAUGUUGGGGUUAAGUCCCGCAACGAGCGCAACCCUC
rnacentral:rRNA from 1 species